rfam:Salmo salar isolate Sally breed double haploid chromosome ssa20, whole genome shotgun sequence.
GGCCUGUAGCUCAGUUGGUAGAGCAUGGUGUUUGCAACGCCAGGGUUGUGGGUUCGAUUCCCACGGGGGGCCA